rnacentral:rRNA from 1 species
GAUGAACGCUGGCGGCGUGCCUAAUACAUGCAAGUCGAGCGAACGGACGAGAAGCUUGCUUCUCUGAUGUUAGCGGCGGACGGGUGAGUAACACGUGGAUAACCCACCUAUAAGACUGGGAUAACUUCGGGAAACCGGAGCUAAUACCGGAUAAUAUUUUGAACCGCAUGGUUCAAAAGUGAAAGACGGUCUUGCUGUCACUUAUAGAUGGAUCCGCGCUGCAUUAGCUAGUUGGUAAGGUAACGGCUUACCAAGGCAACGAUGCAUAGCCGACCUGAGAGGGUGAUCGGCCACACUGGAACUGAGACACGGUCCAGACUCCUACGGGAGGCAGCAGUAGGGAAUCUUCCGCAAUGGGCGAAAGCCUGACGGAGCAACGCCGCGUGAGUGAUGAAGGUCUUCGGAUCGUAAAACUCUGUUAUUAGGGAAGAACAUAUGUGUAAGUAACUGUGCACAUCUUGACGGUACCUAAUCAGAAAGCCACGGCUAACUACGUGCCAGCAGCCGCGGUAAUACGUAGGUGGCAAGCGUUAUCCGGAAUUAUUGGGCAUAAAGCGCGCGUAGGCGGUUUUUUAAGUCUGAUGUGAAAGCCCACGGCUCAACCGUGGAGGGUCAUUGGAAACUGGAAAACUUGAGUGCAGAAGAGGAAAGUGGAAUUCCAUGUGUAGCGGUGAAAUGCGCAGAGAUAUGGAGGAACACCAGUGGCGAAGGCGACUUUCUGGUCUGUAACUGACGCUGAUGUGCGAAAGCGUGGGGAUCAAACAGGAUUAGAUACCCUGGUAGUCCACGCCGUAAACGAUGAGUGCUAAGUGUUAGGGGGUUUCCGCCCCUUAGUGCUGCAGCUAACGCAUUAAGCACUCCGCCUGGGGAGUACGACCGCAAGGUUGAAACUCAAAGGAAUUGACGGGGACCCGCACAAGCGGUGGAGCAUGUGGUUUAAUUCGAAGCAACGCGAAGAACCUUACCAAAUCUUGACAUCCUUUGACAACUCUAGAGAUAGAGCCUUCCCCUUCGGGGGACAAAGUGACAGGUGGUGCAUGGUUGUCGUCAGCUCGUGUCGUGAGAUGUUGGGUUAAGUCCCGCAACGAGCGCAACCCUUAAGCUUAGUUGCCAUCAUUAAGUUGGGCACUCUAAGUUGACUGCCGGUGACAAACCGGAGGAAGGUGGGGAUGACGUCAAAUCAUCAUGCCCCUUAUGAUUUGGGCUACACACGUGCUACAAUGGACAAUACAAAGGGCAGCGAAACCGCGAGGUCAAGCAAAUCCCAUAAAGUUGUUCUCAGUUCGGAUUGUAGUCUGCAACUCGACUACAUGAAGCUGGAAUCGCUAGUAAUCGUAGAUCAGCAUGCUACGGUGAAUACGUUCCCGGGUCU